rnacentral:lncRNA from 1 species
UCCUGGAUAACAGAUUUCAAAGAUGUAUGUCGUGCAGAUAAGAAGUACAGAAAGUAGUUGUUCUUCAGAAGCCACGAUUGCCUGUCACUUCCAAAAUAACUGUUUUCGCGUCUCUGAAAUACUUCCCUGUAUUGUUUGAUUUCCCAUCCAUUUGGCGAGAUGGGCUCUUGGCAUAUCUCGCCUGCUGUGCCAUGUGGGCCCCGGGCGUCCUGGGUCACCAGGUGAGGGGAGAGAUGCAGAACGACCCCCCAGAAACAUGUCGGCUUUGGAUUGCAGGUUCAUUAACGAGGCCGGUGGGAACGAGGAUUGGCUUGUCCACUGUGUUAACUGGACUGGAGGAAAAAAGGAAAAGUCAGAAAACAGAGAGCAGCAUUUGGGUAAUUAAGAGCUGAUUGCUGGUAAUUAAGAGUUGUUGAGAGACCCAGCAGGAUCCAAAAAGGAGACUCACACGUUUUUGUCUGAAAGACUCCUGGUAUCUUGCCCCUCCCCCUCUGCCUUCCCCCACCUGGUGGCUGUGCCCCCAUGGGGGCAUGGACCCCCAGAGAGCAAGUCCCAGCUUGUCAAGCAGAUUCUACCUUCUGACUUCAUUCCCUGCUGUGGUUUCCAAGCCCUGAGAGAAGACAUGCAGGGGGGUGAAGUUCCAAAGUCCUGACCCUCAGGUGUGCUUUACCCUAUUUCUCCCAAACUGCAGGCUUAGCUGGGCUCUUGAGCCCCUGUUUCUGCUGGUGGCAGGGAGCUUGCACUUGGCAAGUCCAGGCACAACUCAUUUGGGUUGAGAUCAUGGUCACUUUGGGGCCGAGUCUCCUUACCUUUUCUGCCCUGGUCUGAGUUGCAGGGUUGUGUUGGGG